ACGGGUGAGUAACGCGUAAAGAACUUGCCUCACAGUUAGGGACAACAUUUGGAAACGAAUGCUAAUACCUGAUAUUAUGAUUUUAGGGCAUCCUAAGAUUAUGAAAGCUAUAUGUGCUGUGAGAGAGCUUUGCGUCCCAUUAGCUAGUUGGAGAGGUAACGGCUCACCAAGGCGAUGAUGGGUAGCCGGCCUGAGAGGGUGAACGGCCACAAGGGGACUGAGACACGGCCCCGACUCCUACGGGAGGCAGCAGUAGGGAAUCUUCGGCAAUGGACGGAAGUCUGACCGAGCAACGCCGCGUGAGUGAAGAAGGUUUUCGGAUCGUAAAGCUCUGUUGUAAGAGAAGAACGAGUGUGAGAGUGGAAAGUUCACACUGUGACGGUAUCUCACCAGAAAGGGACGGCUAACUACGUGCCAGCAGCCGCGGUAAUACGUAGGUCCCGAGCGUUGUCCGGAUUUAUUGGGCGUAAAGCGAGCGCAGGCGGUUAGAUAAGUCUGAAGUUAAAGGCUGUGGCUUAACCAUAGUACGCUUUGGAAACUGUUUAACUUGAGUGCAAGAGGGGAGAGUGGAAUUCCAUGUGUAGCGGUGAAAUGCGUAGAUAUAUGGAGGAACACCGGUGGCGAAAGCGGCUCUCUGGCUUGUAACUGACGCUGAGGCUCGAAAGCGUGGGGAGCAAACAGGAUUAGAUACCCUGGUAGUCCACGCCGUAAAC
rnacentral:rRNA from 1 species